CCUGUCUGAUACAAUGGUCCUGAAGCAAAGCUCUUUAUGUUUCUUAAAAAAAUAAAAUAAAAAAUCAGUGCCUGUGGUUCCCCCUAUGUGGUUCACUACACCCAUUCAAGGAAGUGUGGUUUGCAACACGAGCAGCUGACACCCACACAUAAAGCUUUAAUGACUUCAGCUGGGGUGAGGGCUCUGACUCACUAAGAGGGGCUUAUUACCAGUCUGGGAGAGCUGACCUGACCACUUGAUCCCCCUUUACCCCACCCUCUUUUGGAGGUUCCUACCCCAAUUGCAGACACAGCUAAAGGUCUCCUUAAGCACCACUGCCAGAAACUAUAAUCCAGCUGUGAAGGAUCUGUCUGAACUGCUGCACCUAUUCCUCAGUCCCCAAGAUGUGCAACCAUAUGGCCACAGGCACGAGACCCUCAUCCUCCAGUCACCCAUCGGGAUGCUGAUGUGACACUCAGUCCUGUGAUCCAGACGGGAUGUGAUGGACACACAUCCAGCUGCGGACACCCAACAGGCUCUGGUCAGAGAUGAGAUGAUAGUUCUUCUCUGGAGCACAUCUGAUAAGAUGCUGGAGGAGAAGGAAGGGUGUAUUUCCCUCAAACACCUGCAGUGGAUGUGUAGAGGUUGCUUGCUACGUCCUCUGAAUCCCACACUUUCAUUUGAUCCCCAUUCUCUUCAGCAAGGAAACAAUGGCAUCCUGAGAGCUACAAGCACAUAAAUGUUAAUAUUCACAGCUAUUCUCCCUCAAAAAGAGGGUGGACCCACCCCUGCCCUAGCAAAACCAGCCCCUGGUUCAUGCUUCCCAGUAACCUUGGUGUUGUUUGGGAUAGUGUGAGAUGCGAACUCAUGAUUAAGCAGCAGGGAAAGGCUGUGUGAACCCUGGCCCCUAACUCUAGCUGGCCCAUGCAAAUGUGACUUGGAUUUAGUUCCCCUGCACAAAGCCCUCUCCUGACCCAAGGUGAGUCCCAAAUUGGCCAGGGGCUGCAUGUGGUGGCCUCCAUACCCUUUGCCAGGGUUGGAACGGAUGCUCUAAGGUCACCACAAGCUGUUUUUAUUGCAAGUUCCUUCUCCUUUCCUGCCAGGCACAUUUUCCCUUGAACCAUAUCCAGGUCUCCACCUGAGCAAUACUCACCCGCCACUUCACCACAUGUCAAAUGCCUGUUCAAGCACUAAACCAACAAUGUCCCUGCAGAGUUUUCAUUUAUCUGAUAGCAAGCAGAUUGAAAUUACUGGUUACAUGCUUACCUCUGCUAUGUAAAGCCAAGGAGCUUUAACUCUUUGCUCACGGCUGACAAAGACUGGCAGGAAGUUUGCCUCCAACACCUCUGCUCUCUCUUAUUUCUGCCAUAUGAAAUUACCAUUUGGGAGCAAGAAGUAGCUUUUCACUGGCAGAGAAGUUGAACCUUGAAAUAUCCUCCUUCAACUCCAGAAGCCGUGAUUCCCACUACCCAUGUUAGCCUGCUACAUAAGGUUUUCAAAGCUCUGCUCUUGAAAGGGAAGGCUCCCUUGGUAAUGUACACAGGCUAGCACUACACAAUGCAUUCUCAUUUCAUUCACUCUAUUUUGGAGAAUUAAUAUGUUAUUUGGGAGCUCUGGCAGAUUACAACCUGCCAUGUGCCAACAGUGCUAUCCUGAUGCAAAAAUAAAAGCUCUAUACCAAGAUGACAAACAAGACACAAAAAACAGUAAUUCACCACAAAUCAGCACUGGUAGAGCUGCACCUACAGAACCCGUCUGUUUUAGGAAAAUGUUCUUCAUAAAAGGGGUAGACCAAGUGGUGCAAGGAUGCCAAGAAGAAUGAACAGCUGUCUGGAAACUGUUUUCUUUCCAGAGAAAUUGAAAUAAUGGAGCAGGUUACCUUGGGAGUCUGAUGAGGUUUCUAAGAACAAGUUAGAGAAAUUCUUUUGGAAAUGGUUAAAUUAUAUCUGAUCCUAUCUUCUAACAGGGGAAGUGACUAGCUGGCCCUUCAACAUCCCUUCUAGAGCUAUUUUUGUGUUUCCAUGACAACUCUUUUUCAGAUAAAAUUUUUCAUUGUAUCACCGGGGUAUUCUAAGGUGACUCAUGGAAGGCAGUUUAUGGGGGUUGAUACUUAACACCCACAUGUGAAUAGCUAAUAACUUUUUUUCCCUAGACUGAUCCUCUUAUUAAUUAUUUGAGGACACUUCCAUAUAAAUCUGUCGUUAAACCAUUUUCAUCAUAUUUCCAUCCCCCCACUGAAAUUCAGCCAAAGAUGGGAUGACAGCAACAAGAUCACACCCACUUUCAGUAGGACAGAGAGGGAAGAAUAACGUUUCCUGUAGUCGCUACCAAAGGAAGUUCAUUUAAGCAAGAUUUUCCAGCUGGAAUUUGCCCAGAGAUAGGAGCUCCAGCUGAGCAGCAUCUUUUCCUCCCUGGGGAAGGGACCUGAGGUGGGACUAGACACGCUGCAGAACCAGUGCCGAUGACGUUGCCAGCUUGGACAUACUGGAAAAGAAGCUAAAGAAGAAGCUGCAAUCCGCAGGAACACACAUCAGCCAGGACUGAUAAAGAAAUACUCAGUAAGCAAGUAUUCUUGGCCAGAGACCGAGCUCUUACAAGAGGUUUCCACAAUAGCGGUAGCAUAAAGGGUGAAAACAGCUAUCGAGUGACUGAGAGCUGGUGGUACAAGCGUAGAGGGUGAGGUCAGAUAUUGCAGGUGAGAUGGGAGAAAUUCGCUUUGUCCUUUAGGGACAAGCUGGAAUUUUCCUCCUAAUGGGUAUUCUACACCCUCCUUACGUAACUGUAGGAAAAUGCUGGUUAAACAGAUGCUGGGCUGCUACCCUGAGCGAUCUCUUAACUGGCCUGGCAGGCGGCUUGGCAAUGGCCUAGGAUCCAAAGGCCUGGAUGGAAAACUCUGAAACAGAAGCUGCUCGCCACGUAGCACAUUGGCAUCCUGCGGAAAAGACCUUGGCCUGGAACCAGGUACUUCUGAGUAACAAAACCAGCCGCAGGACGAGCUAGCACGGACACUUUGUAACUGUAAUUUACAGACAGCUUAAGCACUUUUCGUUGGUGACAAAAGUACAGGAGUAGCGAGACUGUCCGAGCACCUACAUAGAUGUUAAGACAGAGAUUACAGAGUGAUGUUACACACCCGUUAAAAAAAAAAAAACAAACAACCAUUUGCCU